rnacentral:rRNA from 1 species
UCGCCUGUUUUUCAAAAACAUGUCCUUUUGAAUUAAAUAUUAGGUCUGGCCUGCCCAUUGAGAAUAGCUUUAAAGGCCGCAGUAUAUUAACUGUGCAAAGGUAGCAUAAUCAUUAGUUUUUUAAUUGAAAACUGGAAUGAAAGGUUUAACAAGGAAUUAACUGUUUCAUAUAAAUUAUUAGAAUUUUAUUUUUUAGUUAAAAAGCUAGAAUUUUGUUUAAAGACGAGAAGACCCUAUAGAUCUUUAUAAUUAAUUAAUUUUUUUUAUUAAGAUUAUUUUAAUAAUAAUUAAUUAUAUUAUUUUGUUGGGGUGAUAUUAAAAUUUAAUAAACUUUUAAUUUGUAUUUCAUUGAUUUAUGUAAAAUUGAUCCUUUAUUAAAGAUUAAUAAAUUAAGUUACCUUAGGGAUAACAGCGUAAUUCUUUUGUAGAGUUCUUAUCGAUAAAAGAGAUUGCGACCUCGAUGUUGGAUUAAGAUAUAUAAUUGGGUGUAGCAUUUCAAUUUUUUAGUCUGUUCGACUAAUAAUUUCUUACAUGAUCUGAGUUCAAACCGGAGA